UGAUCACUGAAUUCUGCAAUCACAUACUAUCGCAUUUCGCUGCGUCUUCAUCGAUGCCAGAGGCCAAGAAGAUCCGUGUUGAAAGUUUUAAUUCAUUUUCACCCCGCUCUUCGCGAGGAAAAAGGUCAACUCAGGAAUUAAAACGACGCCCGGAGGGGCGAGAGAAGUUUUGGGGGGUCCUGCGGGCGGGCGCCCUGUUGUCCCGGACGCCCCUGGAGAGGGGCNCCGCCCGGGCGAUCCCCGCCCAGGCAACGAUGAGGGUAGAGGGUUCCACCCCCCGGGGUUGGGAAGUGGGAACCCCGGAAAAAUAUUNCUCUCUNUCUGGAGAGAGGNNGANNGGAGGGAUCAUUACCGAGUUUACAACUCCCAAACCCCGGUGUGAACCUCUACCUCAUCGUUGCCUCGGCGGGAUCGCCCCGGCGCGCCCCCUCCAGGGCGUCCGGACCACACGGCGCCCGCCGCAGGACCCCCCAAACUCUCUCGCCCCUCCGGCGUCGUUUUAUUCUGAGUGGACCUUUUUCCUCGCGAGAGCGGGGUGAAAAUGAAUUAAAACUUUCAACAACGGAUCUCUUGGCUCUGGCAUCGAUGAAGAACGCAGCGAAAUGCGAUAAGUAAUGUGAAUUGCAGAAUUCAGUGAAUCAUCGAAUCUUUGAACGCACAUUGCGCCCGCCAGUAUUCUGGCGGGCAUGCCUGUCCGAGCGUCAUUUCGACCCUCAGGCCCCGUCAGGGGACUGGCGUUGGGGGACGGCACCGCUGGGAGGAGGGGGGUUCGCCUCCCCUCCCCCGCCGCCGCCCCCGAAAUGCAGUGGCGGCCUCGCCGCAGCGACCUCCGCGUAGUAGCACAGAACCUCGCGGCCUGGGAGCUGGGCGCGGCCACGCCGUAAAACAACCCCCACGCGAAGAACCCUUCGCACCAAGAGUUGACCUCGGAUCAGGUAGAANNCCC
rnacentral:rRNA from 1 species